ensembl:rRNA 5S_rRNA 5S ribosomal RNA
GCCAGCAGCCAUAUCACUCUGCAACUCACAACUGGCAACCCACUGAAGCUAAGCAGGUAUGAGCUUUGUCAGUACCUGGAUGGGAGACCCCCUGGGAAAAACUAAGGUUGCUGCUGGAA